CACACUUCCGUCCAGCUGGCCGCCACUGGACACUCUCCCUAUCUUGAAGGAGCCUCCAGCUCCCUCCUCACCCACCUAUGCCAAUGAGGAUGGAUGGUGACAAUGCUAUUAGGAAACCAGCAGGAAGAUGAGUUAGCUCGAAUUUGCCUCCUGGAAGAAGAACCAGCAGAGAGAGUGGCAGAAUGGCUAUAAAAGAGGAUUGGACAUAAAGGACAAAAAGCCCUCUGGGCUAUUGCUAAGGCCUGGGGCCUCCCCCUGUGCUAUGCAGACAUAGUGGAGGCCCGUCAGGAGUGCCCUUCCUGCUUCUUGUGGAGACCCCGUGCCAUUCCCUGGGACACAGGCCAAAUAGCCAGAGGCAACCAGCCCUCUCAAGGCUGGCAGAUGGACUACAUCGGGCCCUUGUCUCUCUUUGAUGGCUGUCGGUAUGCUCUUACUUGUGUGGACACGUACACAGGACUGCUGCAGGCAUACCCCAGCAAAAGGGCCACACAGAAGACCACCAUAAAGCGCCUGGAACAUCUCUGUACUGCAUACAGUGUUCCCACAGACAUUGACAGUGACCAACAUAUGCAUUUUACUGGCCACCAGGUACAGAUGUGGGCCAUCAAAUGGACAUACAUUGGCAUUUCCACCUGCCAUACAACCCAAGGGCUGUGGGGCUGGUGGAAUGCAUGAACAGCCUGCUGAAACAACAACUAAGGACAGAAGAUGGGACUCUGGCCCACUGGACAAGACGGCUGACAACGGCAAUACGGGAACUAAAUGAACAUGAGAGACACACUCGACCCAGUGCAUAUCAGAUAUUGACACAAGGACCUGAUACAACAGAACAUCUACAAACAUGAGCUAAUCAAGGAGAGAAACUGCAACCACAGAUGGGCACUCAGAACAACAACUUGCCUCUGCCACAAGAACUUCCUACUGGGACCCACAUGGUCACUUGGCCCUGGGACUGGCAGGUGGGGCCCUACUGUGUGGUCUCUUAGCUCCUUGGGGAACAGGCUUAGAGCAGGCUGUCACAGUGAUGCCUUUCAUCAUAGGGGGCCACCCAAAACCUCCAGACUUACCAAUCCCAGGGCUUCUGAUUCCUCGAGGUACAUUUAUCCUUUCCCUUUGGUGUGUUGUUGUUCCCCCCCACCCCAUAUUACUGCCCCUGGGGUGCCCACACCGGACAAGUGGUAUGGUAUUGCCGGCCUGGCUUGAAACUGCAGGCAGGUACCAUACUGACUCAAGGUACUGUAACUGCAUGCGUCUUGCGUGACGGUCAUGACCUCCCUUUUUGGGUCCCCUCUAAACAUCUUACUUUUCAUCCUUAGGACAACAUCUGCGAACGUUUUCACUGCCUGAAGACACACCGCUGCUGACAUACAAAAUCACUCCAACUGCUGAGAAGAAUAACCCUGAGAUAACUGCUGCCAAUCCUCCCCUUUUUGCUGACGAAGACUGGCCCUGAGCUAACAUCCAUGCCCAUCUUCCUCGACUUUAUACAUGGGAUGCCUACCACAGCAUGGCAUGCCAAGCGGUGCCAUGUCCGCACCUGGGAUCCGAACCAGCGAACCCCAGGCCACCAAAGCGGAACAUGCGACCUUAACCACUGUGCCACCAGGCUGGCCCCCAGAACAUCAUGUCUUACAGGGACACAGAGACUCUCCAUGUGAGCUAAUGUUCCUGGGAAUGCUGGUCGUACCAAGGACAGCCCUUUGGCAAGCACACAGCCUUUGCUCUUCUGCCUACUUAAGCAAGCUUCUCUUGGGGGGCAGUGGCAAGUGCACACUUCCAUCCAGCCAGCUGCCACUGGACAUGAUCCCUGUAAAUAAGUCCCAAUAAACGUAUAUGUCUCGUUUGCGGUCCCUGGUUCGUUUCUUCAGUCUCUCGGCCCGAUAUCCCACCGUCCUAACCCAGCUGGGCUUGUGGCCUAACAUAGGGGCAUAGAGCACUUAACAUGUGCCAAAUGAAAACAACAUUCAACUCCAUAAAAUCACUUGGUUUCCAACUUCGACUAGUGACUGGCACCCAGUGUGGAAGACGUGAAGCUAACUGUCAUGUGUGACAAUGCCCUAUCUCUUGUCAUACAAUAGCAAAUCCACUAUUAUGCUAUGUUUGUUCUACUACACAUAUAUAUUUUUGAAGGUCUUUGGUGAAGAGUGGUAUGUUUAUUUUCAUGUGAAAUAGCCACAAUAAUUAUGUACUGUCAUAUCUUCCUGACUUAAAAGGCACUUGAUAUAUAUAGUUAGAGAUUAUCUAUUGCAUAUAGGUUGCUAGAUAUUCAUUGUAAAUUACAUCCUUAAUAAAUAUGAAGUUAUCAUCUUUUUCCCAUUUAAUGCUAAUUGCAAUGGUGUUACAUUUUCUCCAAUUUAGCAUUCCUACUCCUCACUUCAUUGUGUCUAUGUUUGAUAGAGCAUUACCUGUCAUUUUGCUUAUAGAAUAUUUCUUGCAUGUUAUUUUAUGAUCUGUUAUAAACAAAGAGGUAAUAUAGUCCAAUUUACUGGCAAAAGGGAGUCUCUGGAGCCAGAGUCUUUGCAUCCGGAUAGAAGUUGCAACAUAAAUAACAAAGUGACCAAAG
rnacentral:lncRNA from 1 species